rnacentral:tRNA from 1 species
GUGGGUGUAGCUCAUCAGUAGAGCGCCUGCCUGUGGAGCAGGAGGUAGCGGGGGCAGCACCCGUCAUCCACC